AAGAUAUAAUUUCAUACGACUCAUAUAAUUUUGGGAAUAUGGCCCAUAAGUUUCUACCGGAUGACCACCGUAAUCGUCCGACUAUGAGUGACAGCGAGCGCGCC
rnacentral:ncRNA from 2 species